rnacentral:rRNA from 1 species
UACGUAGGGUGCAAGCGUUGUCCGGAAUUAUUGGGCGUAAAGAGCUCGUAGGCGGUUUGUCGCGUCUGCUGUGAAAACGCGAGGCUCAACCUCGCGCCUGCAGUGGGUACGGGCAGACUAGAGUGCGGUAGGGGAGAUUGGAAUUCCUGGUGUAGCGGUGGAAUGCGCAGAUAUCAGGAGGAACACCGAUGGCGAAGGCAGAUCUCUGGGCCGUAACUGACGCUGAGGAGCGAAAGCG